rnacentral:lncRNA from 1 species
GAGGCAAGAGCCGGGUGAACCACUGAGUGGCAUUUCUGAGCAUUUGCCGGAUUUUGUCACUCUAAACCGUGAGGACUGGGGAGAACCAGGGCGAGGUGGUGGCGGCGGGAGCCCUGUCACGGAACAGACACCUGCUCGCACUCACCGCCCACGCCCAGGCGGCAGGCGUUGGCUCGUCCUCCCAUCUGCAGCACAGGCACUGGCAGCAGGGCCCGCCUCUGCGCGUCCCUCCCGUCCUUCUGGGCGGUUGGUGUGGGGACUACGGGAAGCUGGUACCUUAGGGCUAGUGGCGUGGCCGGGAACCCUAGACUCGAGUGCUCGGUGGCAGAAUCGAGUUUGAGUUUGGUGUAGUUCAAGUUUAAAAUACAGUGUUCGAGCUGUUUCUAAGGUGGACUCCACUUCCCCCACCCGCGGGACCACAGUCUUCGCCGACGCCCCGCCAAGAAACCGCUUGUGGGGAUGGGGUGAAGAAAGC